ensembl:lncRNA
CCACCCCAGCUCUUCCUCAGCCUCUUCUCUUCUCACUCAUCUUGGUUCCUCUAUUCCCUCUGCCUGAAAUUCCCCUGCCACCCCCUGCUUUGCCCAGUUAUUACUGAUUGUUAAUAAUAACUGCUUUGUCCUCUUAUUACCGUCUUCAAGUUUCAACCAUGUCACUUUCUCCAGGAAGCCUUCCCUGGCCUCCCAAAGCAAGUCAAAUUCUCCAUGACCUGUGCGCUGGCGCCACGCAUCCCUCUCUCCAGCCCUUGUCAGAGCUGUAUGUAUUCUGUGAGGGUCAGUUGUGUGAAGUUCCCGCAACAUCUAGUGGCUUGAGACAGGCCCGGAUAGAUGCAAACAUGAGGUCAGAUCCUCGAUUUCUUCCUGAGCCCUUCCCAGAGAAGGGAGGUGCUUCCCACCAGGAUGCAGCUGGGUCAUGCUGUCUGGGAUAUGGAGUGAAGGACAGGGUGUGCCUGUCUCUCAGAUGAGCAACUAAGCCAUAGGACCCCGAGUUCCCUGCCCCACAGUCUUCAUGGGCAUUUCCUCAAGGACAGCUGCUGCAGGUGUGUGGAUGGACCGUGGACCAGCAGCCUGGGGACGUGACCUGUGAGGCCCAGGCUCACUGGUAAAGAAUCUGCCUGCAAUGCAGGAGAUGCGUGUUCGAUCCCUGGGUUGAGAAGAUUCCCUGGAGGAGGUCAUGGCAGCCCACUUCAGUACUCUUGCCUGGAAAAUUC